AGACAUUUUAAAUGAAGGUGGGUUCAACUGAGUAGGUGGCAGAUAUUUCGGGUACCUGGCCCCACACGCCUUCACCUUGCCUCAUAAGUGCAGCAGAUUUGACACCCUCAUGGUGAGGAAUGGAAACCCAUGGGUAAAUGCUUCUCCCGUCUCUUCACGAAUAAUACCAAGAUGAAAUCUACAUGUGCCUGAGAAUGGGAUCAAGCCCCAGCUACCCACAGAGGUGAUCUUGGUCACUCAUCUUUAUAUGGGCUUUUCUUCCACCGUUCUCCCAGCUCCCUCAUGCCUAUUGCCUUGAGUACUUCCAACGUCAACAGAACCUACUCACGGGUUCUAAUCAAGCUCUGCUUGGGGGAGAAAGGGGGACACCCGGUCUGGGACAGAAAGUGUGGAAGAAGAAGCUCUUGCAGGAGUUCAGGAGAGGAUGAUGAAAGACUGAAGCAAAAAAUUAAUUGCCAAGAUGUCACACAGGGGAAGGAGUGGACAGAGUGGCGGGAGUGAAAAUGUAAAGGUCUUGGUGGCCAAUUCAAUGUGCGGAGUGGAGAGGGAGGGAUUUCGGACGCCUCUCGGAUUGCUAAUAAGGAUGGUAGUGUCAUUGACCAAGUUGAGAAAUAAAGUCGUGAAGAGCAGGUGUAUAUGGGGAAGAAUAUGGGUUCUGCUUUUCAUGUGAAGGAUGUAAAGCACUCUGGGAAACACAGGCAGAGAUUGUUAGUAGGAAGUUGGGUUUAAGAGUCAGGAGCUCCGGGGCACCUGGGUGGCUCAGUCAGUUGGGUGUCUGACUUCAGCUCAGGCCAUGAUCUCAUGGUUUGUGAGUUCAAGCCCCACAUCGGGCUCGCUGCUAUCAGUGUGGAGCCUGCUUGGGAUCCUCUGUCCCCCAGUCUCUCUGCCCCUCCCCCGCUUCAAUUGCUCUCUCUCAAAAAAUAAAUAAAACACUAAAAAAAAAAAAAAGAGUCUGGAGCUCAGGAAAGACGUCUGUACCUGGCAGUUUUGUGAAUCAUGAGCAUACAAGAAGGAGAGGGUUCAAUACACGUAUGUUUGUUGAAGUGUCUAAUAUCAGUUAAAUGCAACUCUUUCCCCAGACUUUGAGAGGAAAGGGAAGGGUGUGGCUGAGAAUGCCCCGGAGGUACCCCUAUUUCCUGUAUCCCACUGUAUUACUUCCUGUCACUGUUUUGUUCAUUUGUUUGUUUUUUCCUAAGACAGCAUUUGUUCCUUAAAAGUUCUAUUUUCAUAGCUUUCUGUUUAAAUACUGUCUUCCUCAGGAAAGGACUCCCGACCGAGUCCCUUGAUCACAUUUGAGAGCGGUGCAGGAGGUAGAGGAGGACAGACAGGCAUGUUCACGCCUCGGUUAGGUGCUUGGUUUUGCUCCCAGUGUGCUGGGCGGUCGUUGGAAAAUGCAGCCACCCGAGGACGGUGCGUGCUGGGGAACUGAGACGUGCCUGGAAUUGGGGGAGCAUAUUGGCUCUGCCAGGGUAACCCUCGUCCUGGCUCCGUGAUCCAGUUCGAAUCCUCGGACCGUGAUCCAGCAGGAAGACUUCCCGCAACCCCCAACCAGGGCUGAGUGGUUCACCUGUGAUCUCCCAGGAGUUCAGAUGUGCCCCAUGAGGACAGGGGUGUUGGUGUGUGUGACGUCACUGCGGGGCUCCGUGUCUGGUGGACGCCGCGGGACUCGUCGAAUGGACAAGUACCCACGGGAAGUCAAGAAGGAGCAAGGAGGCAAUGGAAUCGCCUGGAACAAAUAGGGUGGAACCUCUUCCUGAGCAAAGGCAUCAGGAGACUAUGAAUUUAAUGGUCCUUACUUUUACUGGGGCAGAGAUGACAAAAAAGAGGCUUCAGCUUCCAAGAAAAGAGCAGCGUACACAUUUGGUGCAAAAUUCUGUUGCGUCCACAUCAUGCUGUGUAUCCCUACCAGUUAAAAAAAAAAAAAAGAGUUUCUGGUGCUCCUGGGUGGCUCAGUUGGUUAAGCAGCUAGGUCGUGAUCUCAUAGCUCGUGGGUUCGAGCUCUGUGUCAGGCUCUGUGCCGACAGCUGGGAGCCUGGAGCCUGCUUUGGAUUCUGUGUCUCGCUCUCUCUCUGUCCCUCCCCUCCUUGCUGUCUCUCUCUCUCUCUAUCAAACAUAAAUAAACAUUUAAAAAAUUAAGAAAAAAAGAGACAGCAUUCCUGUCAGGAGGGUCAUCUUUCAGCCCCGUGGCUCCAAACACCAGCUAACCUGUGGGCUGACUUCAGGCCAUGGGAAGGUUUUCCCAGUCUGGCAAAAUGAAUGAAGGACAGCAUGGUGUGUAUAUAUGUGUUUGGAUCAGGUUGCAAACUGUCUUCUCCUGUGGUGGAUGAUCUUUGUUUCUGAUUUUUAGCUGUUGUAAUCUCUUUUCUUUGUUUUUGUUAGCUAAUUGCUUGACAACCUUACUUGGAGUCAUGGGAUGCUAUUGUUCUAUCUGCCUAACUCUGCCUCCCCUUAUACUCUUUCUUUUUCUUUUUCUUUUUUUUAACAUUUUUUUACACUUAUUCAUUUUUGAGAGACAGAGCAUGAACUGGGGAGGGGCAGAGAGAAAGAGUCUGAAGCAGGCUCCAGGCUCUGAGCUGUCAGCACAGAGCCCAAUGUGGGACCUGAACCCACAAACUGUGAGAUCAUGACCUGAGCUGAAGUCGUACAUUUAACCAACUGAGCCACCCAGGCAUCCCUCCUUACACUCUUUCUAAUACGUCUUUUUGUUUUGUUUUGUUUUGUUUUAUUUUUUGUUUGCUUGUGUAUUCAUUUAUUCCUUUAUUCAACAUGUAUUAACUGACCAUGGAAUUUAGUGGAUCUUAGGCCAAAACUAAAAAGAAAAACAACAACAAAACUUUGCCCCUAUUGAAACAUACUUUGAGCUUCAACAUUUCCUUAAAUCUCAAUGUGGGUAAGUCUUAGAUUCUUUCCUGAGAAGACUGAAUGGGGAGAGAGAAUGAGUGAGUUUGGGAUUUUAAAGACAGUGUAAAUGAUAAUAGAAAGAUGCAUAGGAAGUCACCACAUUAAACUUUGUCAGUGUCCCAACUUUCCUCAAGCAGCUGAGUGGAUAGGUGUUGACUUUGGUAAAUUCACUAGCGUCAGCCAAAGAACUUGUUCCUAAAUCAUACAGACUUUAAAGACGAUUGAAGGAGACUUCAACACAUGAAAAGCUGCAGGAUCUCAAAACCAGAGACAAUUGGGGUAUCCUUCUGUAGCUGUUUUCACUUGGGGUGAGUUUGAAAAACAUUUAAAAGCCAGCCGAAAUUGCAAUGAGUCUUUCCCAACCAUACCCACUCUUCCUGUCUCCAACACUAAGCUGUGGGCGUCUUAAGGGCAGGGGCUGGGCCUUGAUCAUCAUUAUUCCUGAUGUUUAGCACAGUGCUUAGUGCAUUGCUAGUAUUGAAUCAGCACUUAAUAACUGAUUGAAUGAGAAAUUGCUGCACGGUGGCCCAGAGUGCCAAGAUCCUUUUCCUGAAUUAAGCCUUGAUUCUGUCUUACAGUGGGAUCCCAUGAAAAUAGCUGCUUGUAGGGUAAACCCUUCAGGAAAUCAAGACGUUGGGAAAUUGUUUCUCUUGACCCCAAUUUUCUAACAUGUCAUUAAAAUUUAUGAGGGAGAAGACAGAGCCAAUAAACCUUCCCCCAGUUCCAGGCAGGUCUCUUAAGUUCGCCAGCACACAUUGUCCUUGAAUGGCUGCACCUUCCGAUGACUUCCCAGUGUACUCGGAAUAAAAACUAACCCCCUCACUGCACAUGUCGCCUUUUCCCUGCCGGCCUCCCUCUUGUGCGCUGCACUAGAAUGUGAUAAAAAGAACCUUUGUCCUCACCACGGGGAAUGCAAAAUCAAAUACACUGUCAAAACCAUGAUAUUACCACUUUUAGUAUAUGAAUGCUUUGCUCAUCGAAAAAAGACAGCGAUAGGAAAUGAAACAGUGGGAUGGCGGAAAGAAGGGGCAUUUUUCACAGCACCCUGGGCCUGGCCUCUCCUCUCUUCAGAAGGCCUGGGAAAAGAGCUAUGUUUAUGACUGAGUAGGCUCUGAAGAGCAGGACCUUCAUUGUGCUGAGCUUGGUUCCCCACUGAGCUGCCACUCAAAUGGCAGCGUGACUGGAAGUCAACAACCCUGUUGCCAUGGCCAAGUGGGCGUUGGAGUACUAUCUCCUCUGGGGAGCCGCUGUGGGAAAAUGCGUCUGCUCCCACCAGCAUCACCGGUAUCAUCCCCACCAGCACUUUUGGAGUGAAAGCUCCAAAACUCUAAAUCCCCUUUUCCACUCCCAUAACCUAAGAUCAGUUGCUGCUGCUGGUGAGUUUCAUCAGGUAGCCAAGAGACACGACUUCCUUGGCCAUCCUUUCCGGAAAGAACUCAUCUUACUGGAGGAGAACAGUCUGAUUCAAAUUCCUUCGGUGUCGUUGCAAAUGCCAUUCACAGUUCAGAGACGUAUUCAACUGGGAUUACCCAGCAGAAAAAGGAACAGAAUCUGAAACUCAAAAUUUAAAUUGAAUCAUAGUCUAGUUAAUCUUGUAUAAUUAAUUACUCCGUGUACUGUCACUGAAAAUUCAAAAUCCUAAGUCUCAAAUGUGAGGUAAUUAGCAUUUGGUAAAGUCGUUAUCAGCUUCUGAUUCUAUUUGUGUCACCUUCACUACUCUUGGAGGUCCAGGAUCCAGGUGUCGUUAAGCUUAGACGUUUUUUUUCCCCCCAUUCCUUAGUCUUAUGUAAAUGGUAAGCCAUUAUACUGCUGUAGCUUAGGUUCAUCUAAUUGUUUUAAAAAUGUUUGCUUUAAACUUUUUUGGGGGGGGCGCCAGGGUGGCUCAUUCGGUUGAGCGUCCGACUUCAGCUUAGGUCACGAUCUCGCGGUUCGUGAGUUCGAGCCCCGCGUCAGGCUCUGUGCCAACAGCUCGGAGCCUGGAGCCUGCUUCGGGUUCUGUGUCCCCCUCUCUCUCCGCCCCACCCCUGCUUGUGC